CCAAUAGCGUAUAUUAAAGUUGUUGCAGUUAAAAAGCUCGUAGUUGAAUUUCGGGAUUGACGUGAUGGUCGUGCCUUAAGGGGUAUGAACUGUCGCUGUUGAUUUCUCACCUUCUGGAGAAACUUGAUGUCCUUAAUUGGGUGUCUUGCGGAUCCAGGACCUUUACCUUGAAAAAAUUAGAGUGUUUAAAGCAGGCAUUUUUGCUCGAAUACAUUAGCAUGGAAUAAUAGAAUAGGACGGCAUGGUUCUAUUUUGUUGGUUUCUAGGAUCACCGUAAUGAUUAAUAGGGAUAGUUGGGGGCAUUAGUAUUCAAUUGUCAGAGGUGAAAUUCUUGGAUUUAUUGAAGACUAACUACUGCGAAAGCAUUUGCCAAGGAUGUUUUCAUUAAUCAAGAACGAAAGUUAGGGGAUCGAAGACGAUCAGAUACCGUCGUAGUCUUAACCAUAAACUAUGCCGACUAGGAAUCAGACGAUGUUAAUUUUUUAAUGACUCGUUUGGCACCUUACG
rnacentral:rRNA from 1 species